ensembl:snRNA U6 U6 spliceosomal RNA
GUGCUCACUUCGGCAGCACAUAUACAAAAACUGGAAUGAUACCAAGAUUAGCAUGACCCCUGCACAAGGAUGACACACAAAUUCGUAGAGCGUUAAAAUUAAAG